rnacentral:rRNA from 1 species
UACGUAGGUGGCAAGCGUUGUCCGGAUUUAUUGGGCGUAAAGCGCUCGCAGGUGGUUCGCUGCGUCGUGCGUGAAAGACCCCGGCUCAACUGGGGAGGGUCGUGCGAUACGGGCGAACUGGAGGCCAGUAGGGGGAUGCGGAAUUCCGGGUGUAGUGGUGGAAUGCGUAGAGAUCCGGAGGAACACCAGCGGCGAAGGCGGCAUCCUGGACUGGUACUGACACUCAUGAGCGAAAGCGUGGGGAGCGAUCCGG